UAGUUGGCGGGGUAACGGCCCACCAAGGCUGUGAUGGGUAGCCGAGCUGAGAGGUUGAUCGGCCACACUGGAACUGAGAUACGGUCCAGACACCUACGGGUGGCAGCAGUAGGGAAUAUUGCGCAAUGGGCGAAAGCCUGACGCAGCCAUGCCGCGUGGAUGAUGAAGGCCUUCGGGUCGUAAAGUCCUUUUCUGAGGGAAGAAGCGCUGGGGAAGGAAAUGUCCCCGGUUUGACGGUACCUCAGGAAUAAGCAACGGCUAACUCCGUGCCAGCAGCCGCGGUAAUACGGAGGUUGCAAGCGUUGUUCGGAAUGACUGGGCGUAAAGGGAGCGCAGGCGGCCAAAUCAGUCUGAAGUGAAAGCCCGGGGCUCAACCCCGGAAUGGCUUUGGAUACUGUUUGGCUUGAGUAUGCGAGAGGAAAGCGGAAUUCCAGGUGUAGCGGUGAAAUGCGUAGAUAUCUGGAGGAACACCGGUGGCGAAAGCGGCUUUCUGGCGCAUAACUGACGCUGAGGCUCGAAAGCGUGGGGAGCGAACGGGAUUAGAUACCCCGGUAGUCCACGCCGUAAACGUUGUGCACUAGGUGUGGGAGGUAUCGACCCCUUCCG
rnacentral:rRNA from 1 species